GCCGGGCCUGGGGCCGGGCGGCAGGGCUGGGGCGGGGGCCGGGCCGGCCGGAGCAGGAGGUCCCGGGCUGGAGCCGGGGCCGGAGCGGAGGGGGGUGUCGGGGCGGAGAGGGCCGGAGCCGGGACCCGGCCGGAGCGGAGAGAUCCGCCAAGGGAGUGCCGCGGCUGCCGCUACCGCUGCCGUCGCCGGAGCUCGCUGGGCGUGCGCGCUGCGCUCUGGUGAGGAGGGAGCUCCGCUCCCCUUUUAUAGCUCGAUGGCGGACCACGUUGAGAACAACAACAGCCUGGUCUGGAGCCAGCGCCAACUUGUGCUUCUUGGAGCCCCUUCCUCGGCCGCUAGCUUCCCGCAUCGCGCCCCCCGGGCACCACCAAACCCUCGGCCGAGCGCCCCGGACAGGGCCCGAGCCUGCGGCGCAACGGAGAGAUGGCCUGCGCCCGGGAAGGGCUCAGCAGAGGGGAACGGAGGGGUGCACCCUAUGCUGCGGGAGCGCGAGAGGAGGGGGGCACCCGGUUUGGGGGCAAAUAGCGAGGGCCACGGGGGAGGCCACGCGGCCCGGAGCUUUGCGGCCGGCAGCCAAGAGUGCGCCACAGACACCCAAGCCCUGAGCGCGGUCCGGGGGCCCCCGGCCUGCCCGCAGGACGAGGUUUAAUUUGUCCGAACUAACACAGGGCACGCCCUCACGUGGUCGGCUGGGGCAAUGUGAAAUGUGCUAGGACAUCUUCGAGGGGGGUCUCCACCCGAGUCCGAGGGGAUGGCGGCUGGGGGCGCCCUCCGGCUGCGCGCCCGGGGUCUUGUUAUGCCUCGGGGGUCUGAGCCCCGCCCGGGAGGAAGUGGGGGACGACCGCAGGUGUCUCUCUACGGACAUUUCCAAACCUCCCACCCCCCGCCCUCCGUCCCCGCCAAACUGGCGCUGAUGCUCCAAGUGCCCCAUUUUGUGGUGCGCAAGUAGCCGCCACCGUUCGCCCCAGAGCCAAAUGGCGGUUCCACGGUGGAACUAGUGGAGCGAGUGACAGGCUGCGACCCCCGAAGGGGUCCUCGGACAGGAUGGGGGAGGGGAGGUGCUGCGGCCACACCCCUCCCCCUGUCGUGGGGGAAGGGCGAUGGAGAGCGGGUCCUGGAGACUCCUCUUCUAGCCCCCCUCCCUCUCGGCGCCCGGCGAAGUCCUCCGCAGGGGCUUGUGCAAGUCUGCGGCCCUGAGCCGGUCGGGGUGCAGCGUAACUACUGCCGAGGCGGCGCCGAACAGCCUUUCUCGAAGCCGAAGAAGCCUCUACCUGGGGAAGCUGAGACCAUGGGGAGACACCCCGGGAGGAGAGCGGAUCCCUUGGGAGUAAGUGGUUUUUAGGCCCGAGCAUGGAGGGAUGGAUGGGACAGGGACGGUAGAAAAUUGGGGUUCCUGGGGAGAGAGAGCUGGAAGCCGUGAAGUCCAGGAAGGGGGAAGCUGGGCGUGGGGGUGGGGGAUCCAGGCCUUCUCUCCCAAGAGGCCCCUGUCCACACGCACCCUUUUCCCAGAGCAGGCACAGACCCCAUUGGCCCCUCAGACAAAUUAGUGAAUAAGGCCCCGGAGAGGAGGAAAUUGAGGCUGGGAAAGGUGAGACGGAAUGGGGUUUCUUUGCAGUAGGGGGUGAUCAGUGGCAUUGACCCAGAGGAGGGCUCGUCUCCCAGGGCAGUGAAUACAGCCCAUAGGAGGAGGAAGAUAAGCCCAGGUCCCUGCAAAGAAGGCCAAGUCCCUCUCCCAGGAAGGAGGACACCCCCCCAACAAACACACAUACCCAAGUGAACUGUCUGUCAAGCUGGGGAAACUUGGCCAGCCUAAGACCUCAGCCAAGGUGAGAAAAGACCAUUAGGAGUCUCCUAGCAGAGACAGGUGGGUUUCUGAAAGCAGUGCUGGCUGAGCCCCGGGGGGCGCCUGGGGAACAAAAAGGUCUUGCAGAGAGGGCAUGGCCUGAGCGAAAAAUCACAGGUUCCGGAAAUGCAGAGGCAUAAUGCAGUGAGAGAGAGAGAUGGAGGAGUGUCCAUCCAGGAGCUGAAGCCACCCAAGACGGAGCAGAGGGCACGGAGGUUCCUCCCCAAGCCCUGGAGUUCUCCACCCUUCCACUUUGGGCUCUCCAGGCCUCUCCACACAACAGCAGCAGCAGCAGCAGCAGAUGGAGCCGCUAACACAGAAUUCCCCAGUUUGUGAAAAGAUGUUGGAUGUGUGCAGCGCUCUCCAGCUUUGGCAGCCCAAGUCCGGACUUCUGAACAGAGAUGUCCUCAAGAGAAGGGAGGACCCGCAAGAAUACAGCCUUCCUGGAGAAUGAAACACGAAACAAAAGACCCCGGUGUCGAGCAGAGUGUGGAGUCUGGGUCUAGGAUGCAGAACCCUGGGGCUCUAGGUGGGCUUCUGUGCUUCCGUCAGCCUCAGUGUUAUCAUCUGUAAAAGGGGUGUCUACCCUAGAGCUCCAGCAGAGGCACCUCUGCGCGGGAGAGUUUCCAGAAGGCCUGGGUGGGAGUUACCAGCCUCAGGGACAGGAUUCUGAGGCCCUGCCGCCUGAGGGCCCCUCCCCAGGGAAGGCCCCGUUGGCUGUUAACCUGUUGAAGGCCAAAGAGUCUGUCUCCCCAAAACAUGUUUUAAACCGAGAGGUUGGCUCCAUCCUAGGCCUGGACUGGGAGGGAGGGUGGCAGGGCACAGUUUGGGAUUUAAAAUAUAGAGAGUCACUAAGUA